rnacentral:rRNA from 1 species
AGAGUUUGAUCCUGGCUCAGGAUGAACGUUGGCGGUGUGCCUAAUACAUGCAAGUCGAACGGUGACGAUUUUGUAGCAAUACGAAUGAAAUCAUAGUGGCGAACGGGUGAGUAACGCGUUGGUGAUCUGCCUCGAAGUGUGGAAUAACUUCCCGAAAGGGUAGCUAAUACCGCAUAGUCUCUCAAGGUUUAAAAAAUUGAGAGUAAAGGAUUUAUUCGCUUCGAGAGGAGCCUGCGUCCCAUCAGCUAGUUGGUAGGGUAAUAGCCUACCAAGGCAAUGACGGGUAGGGGACCUGAGAGGGUGGCCCCCCACAAUGGAACUGAAACACGGUCCAUACACCUACGGGUGGCAGCAGUAGGGAAUAUUAGAAAUGGGCGAAAGCCUGAUCUAGCAACACCGCGUGUGCGAUGAAGGCCUUCGGGUUGUAAAGCACUUUUUGGAGGGAAUAGGAAGGAAGGUACCUCCAGAAUAAGUCUCGGCUAACUACGUGCCAGCAGCCGCGGUAACACGUAGGAGGCAAACGUUAUCCGGAUUCACUGGGCGUAAAGCGCGUGUAGGUGGUUCUGUAAGUAGGGCGUGAAAGCUCCCGGCUCAACUGGGAGAGGCCGUACUAAACUGCAGAGCUAGAGGAUGGUAGAGGGAGGUGGAAUUCCAGGUGUAGUGGUGAAAUGCGCAGAUAUCUGGAGGAACACCAGUGGCGAAGGCGGCCUCCUGGACCAUUCCUGACACUCAGACGCGAAAGCUAGGGUAGCAAACGGAAUUAGAGACUCCGGUAGUCCUAGCCCUAAACGAUGCAGACUAGGCGGCCGGCGGUUUAAUCACCGUCGGUGUCCAAGCUAACGCGAUAAGUCUGCCGCCUGAGGACUACGGCCGCAGGGCUAAAACUCAAAGGAAUUGAGGGGUCCCCGCACAAGCAGCGGAGCGUGUGGUUUAAUUCGAUGCUCCGCGAAGAACCUUACCUGGGUUUGACAUAACAGUGGUAGAGAAGUGAAAACGGAUCGACCCUUCGGGGAGCUGUUACAGGUGUUGCAUGCCUGUCGUCAGCUCGUGUCGUGAGAUGUUCGGUUAAGUCCGCUAACGAGCGCAACCCGCGCUGUGUGUUACAAGUGUCACACAGUACCGCCGGUAUUAAGUCGGAGGAAGGUGCGGAUGACGUCAAGUCAGCAUGACCUUUAUAUCCAGGGCUACACACACGCUACAAUGGUCAGAACAAUAGGUUGCCAAGCCGCAAGGCGGAGCCAAUCCUCCAAAUCUGGCCUCAGUUCAGAUUGCAGGCUGCAACUCGCCUGCAUGAAGUCGGAGUUGCUAGUAACCGCAGGUCAGCAUACUGCGGUGAAUACGUUCCCGGGGAUUGUACACACCGCCCGUCA